rnacentral:tRNA from 1 species
GGGGGUAUAGCUCAGUGGCAGAGCAAUCGACUGCAGAUCGAUAGGUCCUGAGUUCAACUCUCAGUGCCCCCU